rnacentral:lncRNA from 1 species
GAGUAAUGUCAUACAUCCGAGGUCUUAAAUUUGAGAUUAUUUCAUUUUGACUGUUUUUUCGAGACAUAAGUGCACACAUGCUUGAAUUUGUUGGCAAGUGGAUGAUUUUGAAGAGAAUGAAAGUCAUUUGGAAUGGUUUGAAAGACUGGGACCAGCACAUGGGUACUUCAAUCCUCAAAUGAGUGUCAAGACGAAACACAAUAUAUCAAAAAUUUUGCCCCGGUUUGGUGUUUAGGAAAAUGAGCUGGGGUUUGGAUCCAUGAAAAUUGGUGACACAAAAUCAAGUGAGACUUGCAA